GGAAGGAUCAUUAACACGUAUCCACGUUAUCAAACCAAUGAGAACCGUUUUCCCGUCUCCCUGCUGCAUGAAAUGAAUUGGAACCAGUUUGAGGGGGUGAUGGGACUGAAAAGUCGACCUUCCUGGCACACUGAUGUUCACUUUCCGUUUAUUCGGAGAUUGGCAUCGACAAUUGUAUUUGUGUUCUGCAGGCUAAUUCUUUAUCGCUUUUGAUCCCCUCACGAUCGUGGCGGUAGGGAAGCCCUUCAAACUACAUUUACCCCCCCCUUUUUGCUAGUUGACUUUUUAUAUGUGUUGUGGAAUUCAUUCUCGGCACACGUUUAUUAAUUGAACGUUAAAAAAUACAACUCUUAGCAAUGGAUAUCUUGGUUCUCGCAACGAUGAAGAACGCAGCGAAAUGCGAUACGUAAUGCGAAUUGCAGAAUUCAGUGAAUCAUCAAAUCUUUGAACGCAAAUUGCGCUCUUGGGUAGCCCUAGGAGCACGCCUCUCUCAGUAUCGGUUCAACAAUCUCUCAGCAGCGUAUAGCAAUAUGCGUGAUGGCUGGAUAAUGAGAGUCUGAGUUCGCGCUCAGUCUCUUGAAAUGCAUGGAGUAAACAUGGCUAGCGAUCAACUCUGCUCUUCGGAGCAGAUAGUCAAUUCUCUGACUGUUGUUUCAUUAGUGACGUGAAUACUGGCCUUUCUUGGUCUUUCCCUUUUACGUGUAUCUUUUGAGCAAUGCUAUAAAGUCUAGGAUUUGGCGAACGUUCGUUUCUAGGGUGUGUUUUAUGGAAGAAAACCAUAUGAUCCGCGUAACGUUUGUUAUGUGAAUCUGAAUUUUUUGAUCUGAGAUGAAGCGAGACAACCCCCUGAAUUUAAGCAUAUUAAUAAGGGGAGGAAAAGAAACUAACAAGGAUUCCCCCAGUAACGGCGAGUGAAGCGGGAAGAGCUCAAUUUGAAAAUCGAUUACCUAAACGGGUCAUCGAGUUGUAGCCUAUAGACGUACUAUCAGCUGAAACCUGGGUAUAAGUUCUUUGGAAUGAGGCAUCAUAGAGGGUGAGAAUCCCGUAUAUGACCCAAAGCUUUCAGCGUACGAUGUGCGUUCAUCGAGUCGAGUUGUUUGGGAUUGCAGCUCUAAAUGGGUGGUAAGUUUCAUCUAAAGCUAAAUAUAGGCGAGAGACCGAUAGCGAACAAGUACCGUGAGGGAAAGAUGAAAAGAACUUUGAAAAGAGAGUUAAAAGUACUUGAAAUUGCUAAGAGGGAAGCGCUAAAAACCAGUGAUACGCUAGGUCAAUCGUUCUUGGCCCCACUAGUUCGUCUGAGUAAUGGGCAACCUUGCUUUGGCGGACGAAAGGGUGGUUGGGGAUUUCUGAUUUAGUGUCAGUCAAGAUCAAUUCGGAUUGUGGGAGAAGGUAGCGAGGAAGGUAGGAGAGCAAUCUCUGUUAUAUCCUUGUUACUCUACCUCGGCCUGGAUUGAGGAAGUAAUAGUGCGCUGCUUGCGGCUUGGUCCUGCGUUUCUAUUGCCCUACUUGCUCUCAUAGCAAUGCUAUGUCUGUGGGAAAAGGUAAUACUGGGCGUGGUGAUUCUAUGUGCUAUCACGAUCUUGUACGAAAUGGUUUUUAUCGACCCGUCUUGAAACACGGACCAAGGAGUCUAACAUCUAUGCAAGUAUUUGGGUGCAAAACCCUGAUGCGUAAUGAAAGUAAAGGCGGACUUGUUUCCGCUGAGGUAGGAAUCCUGCAAGGGAGGCACUAUCGACCGAUCAUCACUUGUGAAAGAUUUGAGUAAGAGCAUAUCUGUUGGGACCCGAAAGAUGGUGAUCUAUGCCUGAACAGGGUGAAGCCAGGGGAAACUCUGGUGGAGGCUCGUAGCGAUACUGACGUGCAAAUCGUUCGUCUGAUUUGGGUAUAGGGGCGAAAGACUAAUCGAACCAUCUAGUAGCUGGUUCCCUC
rnacentral:misc_RNA from 1 species